GAAAUAAGCAUGUAUCCAAUUCUAUAUAUUUUUUAGAAAGAAGAAAGCUAAUGAGGAGACAGAAAAAGAUGAGAAUUAAUGAAGAUGGCAAUGAGUCUAUUGUAAAAUAGGAAGAGAUACUUUUACUUUUGGGGAAAUUAUUAAGUGGAACGGUAGCAUGCUUCCUCCCACAUAUAUGGAGGUUUGUCUCACAUGGUGGGAUCCACUUCAUCUGUUAUAGCUUAAAAGUGAAAAAAUAGCCCCUCACUUGAAAGAUUUUCAUUUUCAAUUCAGAU
rnacentral:misc_RNA from 1 species